rnacentral:rRNA from 1 species
AGGGCACCACCAGGAGUGGAGCCUGCGGCUUAAUUUGACUCAACACGGGAAAACUCACCCGGCCCGGACACUGGAAGGAUUGACAGAUUGAGAGCUCUUUCUUGAUUCAGUGGGUGGUGGUGCAUGGCCGUUCUUAGUUGGUGGAGUGAUUUGUCUGGUUAAUUCCGAUAACGAACGAGACUCUAGCCUACUAAAUAGAUCGUCGGCUUACAAACGCCGGCGAGACUUCUUAGAGGGACAGGCGGUGAUUCAACCGCACGAAACAGAGCAAUAACAGGUCUGUGAUGCCCUUAGAUGUCCGGGGCCGCACGCGCGCUACACUGAAGUGAUCAGCGUGCUUUUUCAACCUACUCUGUCAAGAGUGGGGAACCCAAUGAACCUUCUUCGUGAUUGGGAUAGGGGAUUGUAAUUAUUCCCCUUGAACGAGGAAUUCCCAGUAAGCGCGAGUCAUAGGCUCGCGUUGAUUACGUCCCUGCCCUUUGUACACACCGCCCGUCGCUACUACCGAUUGAAUGUUUU